rnacentral:rRNA from 1 species
ACGGAAGGCAGCAGUGGGGAAUAUUGCACAAUGGGCGAAAGCCUGAUGCAGCGACGCCGCGUGAGUGAAGAAGUAUCUCGGUAUGUAAAGCUCUAUCAGCAGGGAAGAAAAUGACGGUACCUGACUAAGAAGCCCCGGCUAACUACGUGCCAGCAGCCGCGGUAAUACGUAGGGGGCAAGCGUUAUCCGGAUUUACUGGGUGUAAAGGGAGCGUAGACGGUUUGGCAAGUCUGAAGUGAAAUGCGGGGGCUCAACUCCUGAACUGCUUUGGAAACUGUCGAACUAGAGUGCAGGAGAGGUAAGUGGAAUGCCUAGUGUAGCGGUGAAAUGCGUAGAUAUUAGGAGGAACACCAGUGGCGAAGGCGGCUUACUGGACUGUAACUGACGUUGAGGCUCGAAAGCGUGGGGAGCAAACAGGAUUAGAUACCCUGGUA